rnacentral:rRNA from 1 species
ACUCCUACGGGAGGCAGCAGUAGGGAAUCUUCCACAAUGGACGAAAGUCUGAUGGAGCAACGCCGCGUGAACGAUGAAGGCUUUCGGGUCGUAAAGUUCUGUUGUAAGGGAAGAACAAGUGCCGCAGGCAAUGGCGGCACCUUGACGGUACCUUGCGAGAAAGCCACGGCUAACUACGUGCCAGCAGCCGCGGUAAUACGUAGGUGGCAAGCGUUGUCCGGAAUUAUUGGGCGUAAAGCGCGCGCAGGCGGCCUCUUAAGUCUGAUGUGAAAGCCCCCCGGCUCAACCGGGGAGGCCAUUGGAAACUGGGAGGCUUGAGUAUAGGAGAGAAGAGUGGAAUUCCACGUGUAGCGGUGAAAUGCGUAGAGAUGUGGAGGAACACCAGUGGCGAAGGCGACUCUUUGGCCUAUAACUGACGCUGAGGCGCGAAAGCGUGGGAGCAAACAGGAUUAGAUACCCCGUGGUAGGAUAGCG